AUUCACUGUCUGAUGAAUUUAAGUUUAAACAAGAUAUUGCUUUUGAUUACCUCUGCUGAGCUGCUUAGGAAGUUAGCUAGAGUGACGAAGAUGUGUCAUCACAGCAGAAUAAGUGUAAAAAGCAAGUUGUUCAGCAAAACGAGUGCCUUGCAUUAUUUACCACUAUUUUACGAUAUUGAGCUGAUGAUACCUGGUAAACCUGCAAUUUGUUUUUAUGUAGACUUCAUGGUUUUUGAGUUACGUCAAAAAUAAAAAUAGGUACGAUAGAAA